GGUAAAAUGGACUCCAUGCCCAAGCUGAAGAUUUUUGUGAUGUUGCUGUCUCUGGCUACUUUCACAGCCAUGGUGAUACUGAAUGCUGGAAAUGCCACUGGUCUUUUCAAAGGUCUGUUCCGGACAACCCCUGGCAACAUCUCAGAGAAGUACAGCACCGACUUCACACCGGCUGGCUGGACUUUCCUCAUCUGGAAUGUCAUCUAUGCCUGGCAACUGGCGUGGCUCCUGUAUGCGCUGUUGGGGAUCUGCCGGAGAAAUGAACUUGGAUGUGUCUUCAUGAAGCCGGACCUGCUGCCAAUACCUUUUUACAUGGCAUGGAUUCUGAAUAAUGGCCUCAAUGUUGGAUGGCUGUUUCUAUGGGACAGAGAAUACCUACUCCCAGCCCUGCUGUUGUUGGCAGCCCUCACUUUUACCACGGAUGCUGCUCUCUUCAUUUCACACAGAGCCUUGAGUAUCCAUUCCAUGUGGUUCAUGAAGGGCCACCAAGUUGAUCUCUGGCUCAUCCGAAUCCUAGUGCAGAAUGGGCUGGCACUGUAUGCCACAUGGACCACCAUCGCCACUCUGCUGAACUUUGCCGUUGUGUUGAUCUACAAGUGGGAUGUGUCCAAUGAGACAGCAACCACUGCCUCUCUGAGCAUCCUCACCCUCAUGCUUGUCCUGUGGUUUUGUCAGGAGAACUUCUUUCUUGAUAAGUACGUCCGUUAUAACCUCACGAUCUACCCGGUGGUUAUAAUAGCUCUGACUGGCAGCAUGUGCAAGGACUUCUCAGUUUCCUCCCCAACCACCAACGGUGUUUUUAUAGUUGUACUGCUGGCACUGACUUGUUUUAUCUUUGCUGUUCGGCUGGCGUUAGUCAUAAGGAAACACAGUAAUGAACUGCUGGAACCACCAACAUCACCACAGCCAUCAAGCACAGUGGCCUGAGACCUGUGGUAUGGUGAUGUUAUGACAGAAGCUUUAAAGGGAGAAUAGAAGCUGAGCAUCCUGCAACCACUGGUGCCUUCCCUCCAGUAACAAUUGCCUUUUUUUUGCCUUUUUUAAUAUAUAUAUUUUUUCUCUUUUUUAAUAUAUCCUGGAUUAGCACAGCUUUUGCCUGCAAACCUGUCCUCCUCCCCUAUUCUCUGAGCUCAGCUAUUUGCAGCUCCACCUCAAACAUGCAGCCUCCUCUGCUCAUUUUGUUUUGGAUCAAUGGAGGAAGAGGUCCUUUAUAUGAGUAGCUCUGUAUACCUUUGUGAUGACAGAACUGUGAGGAGGGCUGUCAACAGAUGCUUGGCACAGAGUUGCCUCUCACCCUUCCCUGCCCACCACAGGUCCCAGGAGAGGAGGGACGGCUGAAUACUUCUGCCACAGCUGCAGGUCUUUAGCCUAUUUCAGGUUGCUCUAACUCUAGAAACUGACAAUGUGCUCAUGUCUCAGCACACAGUAUUAUCUCUGUCCCUCUGCCUUGUUUUUUCUUCUGACUUUCUUGCUGAAGUUUGUACUGUGUUGGUGCCUCCAUCAGUGGCCCCACCCACUCCUCCUUUCAGACAGGGGAGAUCUAGGUGAUGUGAGAGCAGUGGAUUGCUUUUCCUGAGCUGUGCCCAUUCGGUGGCUGCCUCCUCCAGGAGGAUGCUUUGCAGCCCUUCUGCUGGGAUAUCAGCCAUUCUGACACCACAGUACCUAAUGGAGGGCAAACCCUGCUUCAUAGACCACUUCUUGUUUUCUGAGCUGCACAGAGUGAUUUCAUCCUGGAUCAGUGCUUUGUAAUGUGACUUCACCACCGCGGGCUUGCUUUGGGAAGCCUGACUGAGAACUGACUGGAUUGUCAGACCUCUGCCUCUAUUUGCUGUGCCUGAUAGAUUUGAUGAUGCCUUGCUGGUGUCUGGAAAGUCUUCCUGGAUGCCUGGUGCUUGGAAAUGCUGAAUAUCUUGCAGUACUCUCACAAAGGUGAAUUCUAUUAAAAUACAAUGCUAUUGUUUACAUUUAAUGAAGAACAAAGUCUGUAUUUGAUUCUUGUCAUUCUAUCGUUUCUUAUUUUUAAAUAAAGCAGCUACUGCCAACA
ensembl:lncRNA